UCAGUAUUCGCGGGUGCGCGCUUUAAACUUCCCACACAUCGCGCGAGUAACAAAUUGAAUUCCCUUUCGCCAUCUUCUUGACUGAGCAUGAAUAUUUAAAUUGAUAAGGCUUAAAUGUUCAUGACGAAGCAGCGCUGACCCAUCAACUUUCCAAGGCUUCAAACAUCCAUCACGACGGAUCAGUGUUUCUCCCGCCAUUGUGUUCCCGCCGGGGUGAUAUGAGGGGAGGACGCGCGCUCGCGAUUCCAACAUGACGAAUGGCUGUAGAUUGCUGUGUCAUAAUUAACGAUGGACAUUACCGUGAGUCUUUGACUUACCUCGCGUUACCCGGCUCCAUAUCAUAGCAGCAUGUGACCUUUGCAGUGACCCUGUCAUCCUCUGACCCCUGACCUUGAUAAAGAUGGAGGAGCUUCAGCUCGUUUCCGACACUUUUAUGGGCUGAUUUAGAGAGACACAUGAUUUCCUCGUGGAUGAUCUAUGGAGUGUUGCUCUCCUCUGGACCGGACGCUGUUCAUCAGUCUCAGAGAUAGAGCUGUCCUCCUUUCUGUUCACGUGGACGACAUGUUGUGCUUUAUCUCCACUGAGAGAAGCUAUCAGAGGAACGCGGCUGUAGAAAGGGAGGAUCUGGACUGUAAAUGGGUUUAUCAGUUCUGCGUUAGUUUAGGAUGAUUAUAGAGUCUCUCCUGCUCUCACAUCCACAGACGUGGCCACAAAAACAUGGGUGUUUGUGCCGUCGGAGGAUCUUCAGUCACACACCUGCUGCAUCUGAAUGAAUGAUGGACUUCCACACGUCUUUCAGCUGCACAGAGAAAAUCUAAGGACACGCUGAAGGAAGCAGAAGCAGAAUGGCUGAAGUGACAUUGUGUCUGGAUUGUCAGGGGGAGAUUGGCAUUAAAUUUUCACAAGAAUGUGCAACUUUUUUCACCGCAGUAUUUGUGCCGGACGAUUUCCGCAUUAAACUUUAAUGCCGCUGCCGCAUCAGUGAGGAAAUUAACUUGUGCUUUUUAUUUACAGGUGUUCAAGAGGCCGCGUCCUCGACCCAGAAUCAAUAUAUGCUGAUGACCUCUGACCCCUGACGUGUCUGGAGAUUAGGAUCUGAUCAAAGCUUCCCACGGAGCGUGUGCUUCUGCUGAGCAGGUAUUUCAAUGUGAUCGUCUUUGAUUCUCCAUUGAAAAUCAUAUUUACAUGUUCUGACUACACAGACCGGCCCUCUCCUCAACGGAUUUUUACAGCCAGUCGUAAAUCUGAAGAGAGAUGGAGGGAAGAUCAUAAUGGACGAAGACAUUCCUUCUGCGUCCUCCUGGUAUCCUGGAUAUAUCAGUUUCUCAAUUUUAAUCGAUUCUCAUUUUUAUGAACCGAUAUCGAUUCUUAAAUCCCAAGAAUCGAUUAGUCUAGUCUGUUUUCAGUUGAUGAAUGAGAAGAAUAUGUAGCGCCUCCCAUCCAAUAAAUCGCAAUAAUCUUUGUUACUUUUGAUAU